UAACAAGGUCUCCGUUGGUGAACCAGCGGAGGGAU
rnacentral:rRNA from 2 species